GAUGAACGCUGGCGGCGUGCCUAAUACAUGCAAGUCGAGCGAACGGACGAGAAGCUUGCUUCUCUGAUGUUAGCGGCGGACGGGUGAGUAACACGUGGAUAACCUACCUAUAAGACUGGGAUAACUUCGGGAAACCGUAGCUAAUACCGGAUAAUAUUUUGAACCGCAUGGUUCAAAAGUGAAAGACGGUCUUGCUGUCACUUAUAGAUGGAUCCGCGCUGCAUUAGCUAGUUGGUAAGGUAACGGCUUACCAAGGCAACGAUGCAUAGCCGACCUGAGAGGGUGAUCAGCCACACUGGAACUGAGACACGGUCCAGACUCCUACGGGAGGCAGCAGUAGGGAAUCUUCCGCAAUGGGCGAAAGCCUGACGGAGCAACGCCGCGCGAGUGAUGAAGGUCUUCGGAUCGUAAAACUCUGUUAUUAGGGAAGAACAUAUGUGUAAGUAACUGUGCACAUCUUGACGGUACCUAAUCAGAAAGCCACGGCUAACUACGUG
rnacentral:rRNA from 1 species